rnacentral:rRNA from 1 species
GCGAAGGCGGCCCCUGGACAAGACUGACGCUCAGGUGCGAAAGCGUGGGGAGCAAACAGGAUUAGAUACCUGGUAGUCACGCUGUAAACGAUGUCGAUUUGGAGGUUGUUCCCUUGAGGAGUGGCUUCCGGAGCUAACGCGUUAAAUCGACCGCCUGGGGAGUACGGCCGCAAGGUUAAAACUCAAAUGAAUUGACGGGGGCCCGCACAAGCGGUGGAGCAUGUGGUUUAAUUCGAUGCAACGCGAAGAACCUUACCUGGUCUUGACAUCCAUAGAAUUCUGCAGAGAUGUGGGAGUGCCUUCGGGAACUAUGAGACAGGUGCUGCAUGGCUGUCGUCAGCUCGUGUUGUGAAAUGUUGGGUUAAGUCCCGCAACGAGCGCAACCCUUAUUCUUUGUUGCCAGCGAUUUGGUCGGGAACUCAAAGGAGACUGCCGUUGAUAAAGCGGAGGAAGGUGGGGACGACGUCAAGUCAUCAUGGCCCUUACGACCAGGGCUACACACGUGCUACAAUGGCGUAUACAAAGGGAAGCGGAGGUGCGAGCUGGAGCGGAUCUCAUAAAGUACGUCUAAGUUCGGAUUGGAGUCUGCAACUCGACUCCAUGAAGUCGGAAUCGCUAGUAAUCGUAGAUCAGAAUGCUACGGUGAAUACGUUCCCGGGCCUUGUACACACCGCCCGUCACACCAUGGGAGUGGGUUGCACCAGAAGUAGAUAGCUUAACCGCGAGGGGGGCGUUUACCACGGUGUGAUUCAUGACUGGGGUGAAGUCGUAACAAGGUAACCA